ensembl:lncRNA
GAACACCCGGGCUUCAAGGGCCACCAGGUAUGUUGUUGCAGUUGGGAUUUAGUGUAAUAACAGAAUUAUGACGACAAGCUCAAGUGAAGUCUUUUCAUCACUCUUGUCAUCAGUUUUCCUCUAAAGUGUUCUUCCCUCUGUAGGAAUACCAGGGAACCCUGGACAACCAGGAGCCAAGGGUAAAACAGCUGACAUUGUUUUUAGAAAAUGGAGGGCUCUAAACUUUGAUAUUGUGAUGACUGUGUAACUUUCUUUUAGGUGAGGCAGGAGAACCAGGAAGAAUCAUCAAUGCAGGUAACCGGUUGACUAUUGCAUAACAGCGGCGAUGUGUUUACAGUAGCUAUACAUCUGUAUGACUGUCAGUGUGUACCUAAAACUGCUUGUGGUGAUUCCUCAGGGGGAUCUAGUUCUGUGGCCAUCCCCGGCCCCCCAGGAAGCCCCGGAGCACCCGGUCAAGCCGGACCCCCAGGGUUAUCAGGCCCCAUUGGCCCUGCUGGUCUUCCUGGCCAGUCUGGUCCUAAAGGUGAGAGAGGGCUGAAGGGUGAGAUGGGUAUUCAGGGACUCCAGGGAGAGGCAGGUAUCUCAGUGAAAACCAGUGAAACCGUCAGCUCAUCCAGAGCUGAGAGACAGUUCAGUCUUCCUGCACAACCAGGUCCCCCUGGUCCCCCUGGACCCCCUGGAGCCCCUGGACGUGCAGGUGACUCAAGAUCAGGACUCCCAGGACCAGCUGGUCCCCCAGGAGAGCCAGGAUAUGGCAGACCUGGUCCUAGAGGAGAGAAAGGAGAGUCAGGAAGCUUUGUACCCAAUUCAGGAACAUUCUUCUCUGGACCCCCUGGACCUCCCGGGCCAUCUGGGCCAAAAGGAUCACCUGGUACACCAGGACCAAGAGGAAACCAAGGUAUGUGGUCUAAAAAGCUACAUUUGGUGGAAAUCAAUUCAUAUAACAGAAUGAACUACUUAUCUAGAUCCACAUUGGUUGUUCCCAUUGGAAACACUAAUCCUCUGUCCUUCAUCCCUGUGUCCCAUGUUCCCUUGUAGGAGAUUCAGGCCAGCCUGGUCUACCAGGGAGCCCAGGAAGACCAGGAGUAGGCUCUGAAAGAGGUGAACUUAUCUUGGUCAAACUCAAGGCUAAACCAACAGCGAUUGAAAAAAAACAUGACCAACUCUGAUACAGGAGGUUAUUGACCCAGUAAUGAGAAUUUAUUGUGGCCCACCAUAGUCUACCACUGGUCUAGUGGUUCUCAAACCUCUCCUCUGGGACCCACAGACUAGCUCAUCUCUAAAUUAGCUCAACUAAUUCACCUAGUCAUGGGCUUGAUAAUAAGUGGACAAGUUGAAUCAGGGUGUGCUAGCUCUGGAAUAGAUCAAAUACAUGGAACGGCUGGGGGGCCCAGAGGAGAGGUUUGAUAACCACUGCUAUAGACCAUAGUCAAAACAUUGUUAACGGGCAGAAGUCUAGAAGUAUGUAUAGUAGGACAAAAUAUUUCUGAUUAAUUGCUUUGCUCUUUUGUUCCACACAGCAUCACCAUACGGUGGAACACAUGGGCCACCUGGGCCCCCAGGGACUCCAGGGAUUCCUGGACCAGAGGGACGGAAAGGUAAACUACCAAAACUUGGGAAUCUUAAUUAGAAACAAAUACACUUAGCUUCUGAAGGUUGUGGUGCCUGUAAAAGUAACAGGUCUAGACUCAGUCUUUGAAAUAACUAGUUGUCUUAUUCUCCACAUUUCCAAGGCGAACCUGGAAUUCCCGGUUCUCCUGGUCUUCCUGGCUCUGCAAGAGGUAAACACUCAUCUUUGACCUGCUGUCAAUAUUCCACCCACAACAUUAGAUACACUUAGAUCAUCAAGGUCUCCAAGGUGAACAGCCUCUGGCAUGUUAGAACAAUGUAUGUAAGGGAAGUAGGCAAGUCAGAUCCGUAACGUCAGGAUAAGGAUUGGCUCUAAGGGCUGGGUCGGUCGGGGCUGGGGUGCGAAGCGGGGCUGCGCUCGAGCCGUGGCUGGGGGAGCAGUUGCUCCGCCUCCCUUCUCUCGCCACUGCUGGAAGUUCGUUGUGCGGUCCAACUUGUGGGCUCUCGUUUGUGGCAGCGGCGACUCUGGACGCGUGCUGGGCCCUUCUCGCGGAUCUCCCCAGCUACGGUACUCGUUGGCCUCGUUUACGUGGGGUCUCUGGCGGGUUGCCUCGGCCUGACUUAGAACUGGUGCCGACCAGGGGAAUCCGACUGUUUAAAAUGAAAAGCCCCAGAAAAUAGUGAAGCGUGGGCAAGCGAACACAAUACUACACAAGAAAUGGGAACUAAAAACCUAAAUAAAAUCGGCAGACAACCAGAGAGCCACAACAUAAUAUAGCUACUAAAAUGCAUAUAUAGCGGGCAAGAAAUUUAUGAACAAAGGGGCCUUUGGACAGGACCCCAACACCCAAUUGUGGUGAGGAGCAAAAAGAAGUCUAAGGCCCAAGCUAUGGGGCCCGUGCAAGCAAUAAAAAUGUAUAUAUAGCGGGCAAGAAAUCUAUAAAUUAAUCAACACCUAAUAAAGGUGAUGAGUACAAAUGUGUUUACAAAGGGGCCUGUAGACAGGACCCCAACACCUAAUAAUGGUGACGAAUGCAGUGAGAACAAAUCAAAAACCUGGACAUGCCAAACCAGGCGCGACCUCGUGCGGACACCACAGGGAAAAAAGGUUGCGAAGUGAGCUAAGUAAUGCAGGAUGCACCUCCUGAUAGCCGAAAAAAGGUGCCGCUAGUGGGUUGGGUACCACUGGUGAAAUCUUCUUAUCUUGACCCAGUACAGCCUCAGAGGAAGGGCCACUCCAAGGAGCUGGGUCCUCCCAGGGUCCUCCCAGGGUUUCUCCGCUGGGCCCGACUAGUUUUUGCCACUGGCCGCCUUACAUCAUUUUCAAAC